GACGAACGCUGGCGGCGUGCUUAACACAUGCAAGUCGAACGCUGAAGCUCAGCUUUUGUUGGGUGGAUGAGUGGCGAACGGGUGAGUAACACGUGAGUAACCUGCCCCCUUCUUUGGGAUAACGCCCGGAAACGGGUGCUAAUACUGGAUAUUCACUGGUCUUCGCAUGGGGGUUGGUGGAAAGGGUUUUUCUGGUGGGGGAUGGGCUCGCGGCCUAUCAGCUUGUUGGUGGGGUGAUGGCCUACCAAGGCUUUGACGGGUAGCCGGCCUGAGAGGGUGACCGGUCACAUUGGGACUGAGAUACGGCCCAGACUCCUACGGGAGGCAGCAGUGGGGAAUAUUGCACAAUGGGCGCAAGCCUGAUGCAGCGACGCCGCGUGAGGGAUGGAGGCCUUCGGGUUUGAACCUCUUUCGCUCAUGGUCAAGCCGCAACAAUGGUUGUGGUGAGGGUAGUGGGUAAAGAAGCGCCGGCUAACUACGUG
rnacentral:rRNA from 1 species